rnacentral:rRNA from 1 species
UACGUAGGGUGCAAGCGUUAAUCGGAAUUACUGGGCGUAAAGCGUGCGCAGGCGGUUUUGUAAGUCUGUCGUGAAAUCCCCGGGCUCAACCUGGGAAUUGCGAUGGAGACUGCAGGGCUAGAAUCUGGCAGAGGGGGGUAGAAUUCCACGUGUAGCAGUGAAGUGCGUAGAGAUGUGGAGGAACACCGAUGGCGAAGGCAGCCCCCUGGGUCAAGAUUGACGCUCAUGCACGAAAGCGUGGGGAGCAAACAGG